rnacentral:rRNA from 1 species
UACGUAGGGGGCUAGCGUUGUCCGGAAUCAUUGGGCGUAAAGAGCGUGUAGGCGGUCCGGUAAGUCCGCUGUGAAAGUCGGGGGCUCAACCCUCGAAUGCCGGUGGAUACUGUCGGGCUAGAGUGCGGAAGAGGCGAGUGGAAUUCCUGGUGUAGCGGUGAAAUGCGUAGAUAUCGGGAGGAACACCUGAGGCGAAGGCGGGCUACUGGGCCGAUACUGACGCUGAUGCGCGAAAGCCAGGGGAGCGAACGGG